rnacentral:rRNA from 1 species
AACGAACGUUGGCGGCGUGGAUUAGGCAUGCAAGUCGUGCGCGAAAGGGGCUUCGGCUCCGAGUAAAGCGGCGAACGGGUGAGUAACGCGUGGGGAAUCUGCCUCUAGGUGGGGGAUAACACUCCUAACGGGGUGCUAAUACCGCAUGACAUCCCUUGGUCGCAUGGCCGAGGGAUCAAAGGUGGCCUCUAUUUAUAAGCUACCGCCGAGAGAUGGCCCCGCGUCCGAUUAGCUUGUUGGUGAGGUAACGGCUCACCAAGGCGACGAUCGGUAGCUGGUCUGAGAGGAUGGUCAGCCACACUGGGACUGAGAUACGGCCCAGACACCUACGGGUGGCAG